UUAUGGCCAUAUUACAUUGAAACACCAGUUCGUGUACAAUCACCAAAGUUAAGCAAUGUUGAGCCUGAUCAGUACCAAGAUCAGUGACCACAUGGGAAUACCAGCUGCUGUAAG